AUGACUGGAAGAUUGUGGACUCCCGAAGCGGAGGAGACUCUGAUCGAGCUCUGGCAGGAGUCUGCAUGUCUGUACGACAUCUCCUCCGCCGAUUACCACAACCGAGAGGAGAAGGACCGACGGUGGAGGGAGGUCGCCGAUGCGCUGCAGAUGCCCGCUGAGGCGGUGGCGACCAGGGUGGCGUCUCUGAGGACUCAGUAUGCCAGACUGAGGAAGUCCAAAUCAAACCGGAGCGAGAAGAAGCCACUCACGAUGAGGCAGCGCUGGCUUCUGAGGGCCCUCGACUUCCUGAAGCCACACAUCGUUCAUCGGCGAAGCGAGAACACUCUGGGUUUGCCGUCCUCUGAUAAAGUGGAGGACACUGCAGACGAGUCGGAUGAAAUGAUGCAGGAGACGGACAAAGAAGUGGACAGCUUCGACUCCAUCAGCGUGUGUCUCUCCCCGAUGCCUAGCACUCCAGACACCGGCAUCCCCGAGGAAACCGCCUCGUACUCGCUGUCCCCCCGGAGCACAUCCGGCAAGCGCACACGCUCCUCCGAAUCCGACAUCGAGCUGCAGAAGCUGGAGGUGUUGAAGCAGAUGUCCGCUAAAGUCCUGGAGCACCCGUCUCCGGACGCCGCCGCGGUCUUCUCCAGCCAGGUGGCCCUGGAGUACCGUCUGCUGAGAGACCCCAGCGUCCAGAUGCGCGUCCGCAGGCAGAUCAUGGCUCUUCUCUACGAAGCACAGGAUUCAGAGAGACGUUCCCGACAGUCCAAGAGACACGAACAGCGAGAACUCAAAACUGAGGAGGACAUUACUUGGAUUAACACUAAUAUAUAAGUUGGAAAAAUGUUGUUGUUGUUGAUCUUGUUUUCUACAUUGUACUGAACUAUUUUUCCUAGUGGACGCUUUGAGAUAAUCUACAUGUAAGAUAAUAAAACUCUCCAACUCUUCAUGUGCGUGUUGUUUAUUUUUUAUGUAGCUUUGAGAUUAUGAAUAAUCAAAACAAACCACUACUGAGACAUUAAAUGCCAUCCAGUAGCUAUUUGAUUUGAAAUAUAGCAUCUGUC
ensembl:lncRNA